rnacentral:tRNA from 2 species
GUUUUCUUAGUACAAGUAGUACAAAUGACUUCCAAUUAUUUGAUCUUGGUUUAAAUCCAGGAGAAAACA